AGUAACACGUGGGGAACCUGCCCCUAAGUCUGGGAUACCAUUUGGAAACAGGUGCUAAUACCGGAUAAUAAAGCAGAUCGCAUGAUCAGCUUUUGAAAGGCGGCGUAAGCUGUCGCUAAGGGAUGGCCCCGCGGUGCAUUAGCUAGUUGGUAAGGUAACGGCUUACCAAGGCGACGAUGCAUAGCCGAGUUGAGAGACUGAUCGGCCACAUUGGGACUGAGACACGGCCCAAACUCCUACGGGAAGGCAGCAGCC
rnacentral:rRNA from 1 species